rnacentral:rRNA from 1 species
GACAGAGGUGCCAAGCGUUAAGCGGAAUCACUGGGCUUAAAGCGUGUGUAGGCGGGCAAUCAAGUACCUUGUGAAAUCCCACGGCUCAACCGUGGAACUGCUGGGUAUACUGGUUGUCUUGAGCCAGCUAGGGGCGAGCGGAACAGACGGUGGAGCGGUGAAAUGCGUAGAUAUCGUCUGGAACGCCGAAGGUGAAAACAGCUCGCUGGGGCUGCGCUGACGCUGAGACACGAAAGCCAGGGGAGCGAACGGG